rnacentral:rRNA from 1 species
UCCUGACUGACCGAUAGUGAACCAGUACCGUGAGGGAAAGGCGAAAAGAACCCCGGCGAGGGGAGUGAAAAAGAACCUGAAACCGUGUACGUACAAGCAGUGGGAGCACGCUUAGGCGUGUGACUGCGUACCUUUUGUAUAAUGGGUCAGCGACUUAUAUUCUGUAGCAAGGUUAACCGAAUAGGGGAGCCGAAGGGAAACCGAGUCUUAACUGGGCGUUAAGUUGCAGGGUAUAGACCCGAAACCCGGUGAUCUAGCCAUGGGCAGGUUGAAGGUUGGGUAACACUAACUGGAGGACCGAACCGACUAAUGUUGAAAAAUUAGCGGAUGACUUGUGGCUGGGGGUGAAAGGCCAAUCAAACCGGGAGAUAGCUGGUUCUCCCCGAAAGCUAUUUAGGUAGCGCCUCGUGAAUUCAUCUCCGGGGGUAGAGCACUGUUUCGGCAAGGGGGUCAUCCCGACUUACCAACCCGAUGCAAACUGCGAAUACCGGAGAAUGUUAUCACGGGAGACACACGGCGGGUGCUAACGUCCGUCGUGAAGAGGGAAACAACCCAGACCGCCAGCUAAGGUCCCAAAGUCAUGGUUAAGUGGGAAACGAUGUGGGAAGGCCCAGACAGCCAGGAUGUUGGCUUAGAAGCAGCCAUCAUUUAAAGAAAGCGUAAUAGCUCACUGGUCGAGUCGGCCUGCGCGGAAGAUGUAACGGGGCUAAACCAUG